UACAGCCAUAUUACGUUGAAACAUCGGUUCUCGUACGAUCACCGAAGUUAAGCAACGUUGAAACUGGUCAGUACCUAUAUGGGUGACUGCUUGGGAACGCCUGGUGCUGUU